rnacentral:misc_RNA from 1 species
GAUGAAGAACGUAGCGAAAUGCGAUACUUGGUGUGAAUUGCAGAAUCCCGUGAACCAUCGAGUCUUUGAACGCAAGUUGCGCCCGAAGCCACUAGGCCGAGAGCACGCCUGCCUGGGCGUCACACGUCGUUCCCCCCCCAUCUACUCCUUCGGGAUUGCGGGGGGCGGAUGAUGGCCUCCCGUGCGCCUCGCCGCGCGGUUGGCAUAAAUGCCAAGUCCUCGGCGACGCACGCCACGACAAUCGGUGGUUGCGAAACCUCGGUUGCCCGUCGUGUGCGGUCGUCGCGCAUCGAGGGCUCGAAAAAAUUGCCGGGUUCCGGCUCGGCUUUCAACGCGACCCCAGGUCAGGCGGGGUUACCCGCUGAAUUUAAGCAUAUCAAUAAGCGGAGGA